rnacentral:rRNA from 1 species
GUGAGGAAUUUUCCGCAAUGGGCGAAAGCCUGACGGAGCAAUGCCGCGUGAAGGAUGAAGGCCUAUGGGUUGUAAACUUCUUUUCUCAGAAAAGAAUUAUGACGGUAUCUGAGGAAUAAGCAUCGGCUAACUCUGUGCCAGCAGCCGCGGUAAGACAGAGGAUGCAAGCGUUAUCCGGAAUGAUUGGGCGUAAAGCGUCUGUAGGUUGUUUAAAAAGUAUUCUGUCAAAGAUUAGGGCUUAACCCUAGAUAGGCAGAAUAAACUUUUAAGCUAGAGUUUGGUAGAGGCAGAGGGAAUUCCCGGUGGAGAGGUGAAAUGCGUAGAUAUCGGGAGGAACACCAAAGGCGAAGGCACUCUGCUGGGCCAAUACUAACACUGAGAGACGAAAGCGAGGGGAGCAAAUGGGAUUAGAAACCCUUGUAGUCC